AAAGGUUACUAUAACGUGAGCUUAAAUCCAUUGUCAGUUAACACAGUCCAUCGCUACACCUACAAGGUAAAACUCUACCAUGCAAAGUGAUAGACAUCUAUCAACUACACCCAGUAAUGCCACU